AUUGAACGCUGGCGGCAUGCUUUACACAUGCAAGUCGAACGGCAGCGCGGGCUUCGGCCUGGCUGCGAGUGGCGAACGGGUGAGUAAUGCAUCGGAACGUGCCCAGCAGUGGGGGAUAGCCCGGCGAAAGCCGGAUUAAUACCGCAUACGACCUGCGGGUGAAAGCGGGGGACCGAUAGGCCUCGCGCUAUUGGAGCGGUCGAUGUCGGAUUAGCUAGUUGGUGGGGUAAAGGCUUACCAAGGCGAGGAUCCGUAGCUGGUCUGAGAGGACGAGCAGCCACACUGGGACUGAGACACGGCCCAGACUCCUACGGGAGGCAGCAGUGGGGAAUUUUGGACAAUGGGGGCAACCCUGAUCCAGCCAUGCCGCGUGCGGGAAGAAGGCCUUCGGGUUGUAAACCGCUUUUGUUCGGGAAGAAAUCCUCUGGGCUAAUACCCCGGGGGGAUGACGGUACCGGAAGAAUAAGCACCGGCUAACUACGUG
rnacentral:rRNA from 1 species